rnacentral:rRNA from 1 species
CUACGGGGUGCUGCAGUGGGGAAUAUUGGACAAUGGGCGCAAGCCUGAUCCAGCCAUGCCGCGUGAGUGACGAAGGCCUUAGGGUUGUAAAGCUCUUUUGGCGGGGACGAUAAUGACGGUACCCGCAGAAUAAGCUCCGGCUAACUUCGUGCCAGCAGCCGCGGUAAUACGAAGGGAGCUAGCGUUGUUCGGAAUCACUGGGCGUAAAGCGCACGUAGGCGGAUUUGUAAGUCAGGGGUGAAAUCCCGGGGCUCAACCCCGGAACUGCCUUUGAUACUGCAAAUCUCGAGUCCGAGAGAGGUGGGUGGAAUUCCUAGUGUAGAGGUGAAAUUCGUAGAUAUUAGGAAGAACACCGGUGGCGAAGGCGGCCCACUGGCUCGGUACUGACGCUGAGGUGCGAAAGCGUGGGGAGCAAACAGGAUUAGAUACCCGGGUAGUC